rnacentral:misc_RNA from 1 species
UGACGCCGAUCUCGUUGCUCGUGUAUGCCUUCUUUUCUUCUGCUCUUCUUUAUUUACUUUCUCAAUGUUUUUUGCCUGUAUAAUCUGAUAUAAUUCCUUGUUUUCUAGUUGGAUUUUUCUAAUUCUGUCCAUUCCGGACAACUUUGAUUGAGAAUUCGCAGAGCUAACUACGAUUAUGUAAUUUGGGCAUUUUUCAGUUUACUGCUUUCAUUUUUUCUUUUUUAAGUUUAAUUUUGGGUUAGCCAUGGCUGUAUCAUUAUUAUUAUUUCUCAACGAGCUAAAUUUGGAUUUGAGUCCCGUAUGCCAUGCUCAUCCUUCUAGUAAACGCUGAGCGAUCAUCAAAGAUUUCUGUGGAGGUGACCAAGAUUACUACCAAACAAUUAUAACAUCUAGUGACUGCAAUCAUGGAUUGCUAUAACAUGAGGCUAUGGGAUUGUUAGAUAAAACUAUAAUUAUCAGCUAUUAAUGCUAAAAAGGGCUGAAUUAUUUUUUCAUAGUCAUAUUGCAAAUGUGAACUGUGAAGAACACUAAUGUCAAAUGGAAGUGGUGAAGCUUUAUCAAUUUUAAGUUAUAUGUGUAUAUCGUGAUCAGAGUGUUUUUGUUGGUGAUAUUAUCGGUGGUGGGUGGUGCUAAUGGUAAUGAAGGUAAUGCUCGCUGUAGUGCCAGUGAUGCUGAUAAGGCUGAUGAUGUGUCUGAAGUAAUUGCAACGGAGAUAGCUAGAACAUUGGUGAUAGAUGUAUUAGGUUACUGGAAAUCCCUAACUUAAGGGGGGUGUUUGAUGUGCUUAUGUUUUCUUCAUCUCCUGACACUUAAAUCACAUUCACAUGCAUAGUUGAAAAAGUCGUGGGUUAUGAAUCGUGUCAUGGGAUGGUUGUACAAGGGGACUUGGACUUAUUCUUUUGUCAACUUAUAGUGAUACUCAAUACAAGCUCACAAGGGAGCUAGCAACCUACAAACUCAAUAAGGGAGCUUGCAACCUGUUAUUCAAAGAAAAGAAAGAACUGAAAAUUUUUUUCCUCCCUUAUUUUUACUCUAUUCCAUGCAUAAAUACACAAAUUAUGGAUCCUUAAUUGGAAAAUACAACUGAUUAAGGAAUUGCAUAUUUUGCUCUUAUAAUUCCAAAAUUUAAAUAAAAAAAUAUAGGAGUAAAUUAUUGCCUAAUGCCUGCAAUGAAAAUAAAAAGUAAUGAUUGCAUUUCCUUUAAUUUUGCUAGCCAUGCUAUGUGAGAGAAGGUAACUUGCUUCUAAAAGGUCAUCCUCAACUCAGUUGGCUGACCAGAUUACAUUUUACCAACCUAAAGGUCUCCCAUAAUUGAGGUGGACAACCAGAUUGUGUUCUACACUUCUACUCACCUUGCAGUUGCCCGCCUUCAACCCAGUCGCCUUGAAUGGGGGUUAUCCACCUUCAGUCAACUGGUCCUCGCUUUUUGCCCAGCCUGUUGUAUGUUUGCUUGUUGCUAGGCCUAUAUCAUCACCUUCUUUCUUGAAAAUGAGCUUGUCCCCAUGUGUAGAAGUCAGGAAAAUAUGUGAUGUUGUGUUGUUUAUUUUCCCAGGAAGCUUCAUCAAGUGACUUACCCAGUUGGUUCUUCUAAUUCCAUGUCUGAAUAGGAUUCUCUCUUUUCUUCCCCAUUUGCUUCAACACAAAAAGUUGUUUGCAUUGUGCCUUUGUGUGAAAAAUUCAUCACAAUGAUAACAAAUGCCCUUUUUACACCUCUCUUCUAUUUCCUUUGGUGUACGUAUCUUUGUGGGUCUUAUGGGUUGGGCUUAUGAACCAUAUUCUUAAAAUAAUAAUAAUAAUAA